UACGGGGGGGGCAAGCGUUGUUCGGAAUUACUGGGCGUAAAGGGCUCGUAGGCGGCCAACUAAGUCAUACGUGAAAUCCCUCGGCUUAACCGGGGAACUGCGUCUGAGACUGGAAGGCUUGAAUCCGGGAGAGGGAUGUGGAAUUCCAGGUGUAGCGGUGAAAUGCGUAGAUAUCUGGAGGAACACCGGUGGCGAAGGCGGCAUCCUGGACCGGUAUUGACGUUGAGGCGCGAAAGCCAGGGGAGCAAACGGG
rnacentral:rRNA from 1 species